rnacentral:sRNA from 1 species
GGGAGGGGGUGAGCCCUCUAGGGUGGCUGGGCCCACCACACACCGUUAGACGCAGACCUGGUGCCUCUGUGGCCCCAGGGAGUUGGGGGGUGUCCCUGCUUGGCUUGUCUGGCUUGAGGAUCCCUGGAUGAGUGGCCCCCACCCCCGGGAAUCACCAUGACCCAUGUGUGCUUCUGAGCUGCCUCUGAUUGCACCCAAAGGCCUGCUGCGGGUCAUCUCAGGGGUUCUUCAGCUCGGCAACAUCGUCUUCAAGAAGGAGCGGAACACUGACCAGGCGUCCAUGCCCGACAACACAGCUGCCCAAAAGGUGUCCCAUCUCUUGGGUAUCAAUGUGACCGAUUUCACCAGAGGAAUCCUCACCCCGCGCAUCAAAGUGGGACGGGAUUACGUCCAGAAGGCGCAGACUAAAGAGCAGGCUGACUUUGCCAUCGAGGCCUUGGCCAAGGCGACCUAUGAGCGGAUGUUCCGCUGGCUGGUGCUGCGCAUCAACAAGGCUCUGGACAAGACCAAGAGGCAGGGCGCCUCCUUCAUCGGGAUCCUGGACAUCGCCGGCUUCGAGAUCUUUGAUGUGA